rnacentral:snoRNA from 1 species
AAUCCUGUGGUGAGGGUAUCUACGAAGUAACUCCUUAAAUCUUUCUCAUGCCUUGUAUAAGGAUUCAUCAUCCAUCUGCGAGAAAGUGGUGAUCUCGUUCCGCUACU